UUAACUAUUAUGUAAUACUUGGACAAUACAAAUCAAGAGUUUAAGGUCCUCUGGCAGGCACUGACCAGCUAAUGCCAGUAGUCAAAAGACAGGCCUGCCAAAGCAACAAAGGUAUAGUAAACAAAGGGUAGAGAUCUACCCUAAGGGGCAAGUUCUCUAUAAUGAUCCUUCCGCAGGUUCACCUACGGAAA
rnacentral:misc_RNA from 1 species